GACGAACGCUGGCGGCGUGCCUAACACAUGCAAGUCGAACGGAGAGAUACGAGAGCUUGCUCUUGUACAUCUUAGUGGCACACGGGUGAGUAACGCGUAAACAACCUGCCCAACGGAUGGGGACAACAGACGGAAACGACUGCUAAUACCCAAUAGACUCCGGUUUCGCAUGAAACCGACAGGAAAGGUGGCCUCUCGAAGAAGCUACCGCCGCCGGAGGGGUUUGCGUUUGAUUAGUUGGUUGGUGGGGUAACGGCCUACCAAGACGAUGAUCAAUAGCCGGUCUGAGAGGAUGAACCGCCACACUGGAACUGGGACACGGGCCAGACUCCUUCGGGAGGCAGCAGGGGGGAAUCUUCCGGAAUGGACGGAAGGCUGGCGGAGCAACGCCGCGGGAGGGAAGAAGGCCUUCGGGUUGGAAAGCUCUGUUAUUCGGGAAGAACGAUUCGUUUGUAAAUAAUGAACGGAAGUGACGGUACCGAAAGAGAAAGCCACGGCUAACUACGUG
rnacentral:rRNA from 1 species